rnacentral:rRNA from 1 species
GGCGUAAAGCGCACGCAGGCGGUUUGUUAAGUCAGAUGUGAAAUCCCCGGGCUCAACCUGGGAACUGCAUCUGAUACUGGCAAGCUUGAGUCUCGUAGAGGGGGGUAGAAUUCCAGGUGUAGCGGUGAAAUGCGUAGAGAUCUGGAGGAAUACCGGUGGCGAAGGCGGCCCCCUGGACGAAGACUGACGCUCAGGUGCGAAAGCGUGGGGAGCAAACAGGAUUAGAUACCCUGGUAGUCCACGCCGUAAACGAUGUCGACUUGGAGGUUGUGCCCUUGAGGCGUGGCUUCCGGAGCUAACGCGUUAAGUCGACCGCCUGGGGAGUACGGCCGCAAGGUUAAAACUCAAAUGAAUUGACGGGGGCCCGCACAAGCGGUGGAGCAUGUGGUUUAAUUCGAUGCAACGCGAAGAACCUUACCUGGUCUUGACAUCCACGGAAGUUUUCAGAGAUGAGAAUGUGCCUUCGGGAACCGUGAGACAGGUGCUGCAUGGCUGUCGUCAGCUCGUGUUGUGAAAUGUUGGGUUAAGUCCCGCAACGAGCGCAACCCUUAUCCUUUGUUGCCAGCGGUCCGGCCGGGAACUCAAAGGAGACUGCCAGUGAUAAACUGGAGGAAGGUGGGGAUGACGUCAAGUCAUCAUGGCCCUUACGACCAGGGCUACACACGUGCUACAAUGGCGCAUACAAAGAGAAGCGACCUCGCGAGAGCAAGCGGACCUCAUAAAGUGCGUCGUAGUCCGGAUUGGAGUCUGCAACUCGACUCCAUGAAGUCGGAAUCGCUAGUAAUCGUGGAUCAGAAUGCCACGGUGAAUACGUUCCCGGGCCUUGUACACACCGCCCGUCACACCAUGGGAGUGGGUUGCAAAAGAAGUAGGUAGCUUAACCUUCGGGAGGGCGCUUACCACUUUGUGAUUCAUGACUGGGGUGAAGUCGUAACAAGGUAACCGUAGGGGAACCUGCGGUUGGAUCACCUCCUUACCUUAAAGAAGC